rnacentral:rRNA from 1 species
AGCAGCCGCGGUAAUUCCAGCUCCAAUAGCGUAUAUUAAAGUUGUUGCAGUUAAAAAGCUCGUAGUUGAAUUUCGGGAUCAAUUUGCUGGUCGUGCCUUUGGUACGCACUGGUAUUAUUGGUUUCUCCUUUCUGAUGAAUCGCGAUGUCAUUAAUUUGGUGUCGUGGGGAAUCAGGACCGUUACUUUGAAAAAUUAGAGUGUUUAAAGCAGGCUCACGCUUGAAUACAUUAGCAUGGAAUAAUGAAAUAGGACGUUUGAUUCUAUUUUGUUGGUUUCUAGGAUCGACGUAAUGAUUAAUAGGGAUAGUUGGGGGCAUUAGUAUUCAAUUGUCAGAGGUGAAAUUCUUGGAUUUAUUGAAGACUAACUACUGCGAAAGCAUUUGCCAAGGAUGUUUUCAUUAAUCAAGAACGAAAGUUAGGGGAUCGAAGACGAUCAGAUACCGUCGUAGU